GAGGGUGUAGCUCAGUGGUAGAGCAUAUGCUUAGCAAUGCACAAGGUCCCGGGUUCAAUCCCCAGUACCGCCG
rnacentral:tRNA from 1 species